rnacentral:rRNA from 1 species
GACGAACGCUGGCGGCGUGCUUAACACAUGCAAGUCGAGCGGUAAGGCCUUUCGGGGUACACGAGCGGCGAACGGGUGAGUAACACGUGGGUGACCUGCCCUGCACUUCGGGAUAAGCCUGGGAAACUGGGUCUAAUACCGGAUGGGACCAUUCCAUGCAUGUGGGGUGGUGGAAAGUCGGUGCUGUUGCGGUGUCGGCGGUGGGGGAUGGGCCCGCGGUCUAUCAGCUUGUUGGGUGGGGUGAUGGCCUACCAAGGCGACGACGGAUAGCCGG